rnacentral:lncRNA from 1 species
UGGCAUUGAAAGUUCGCUAGGCCGGACAGAUCGUCGUGUUUGAGUUACAGUCUCGUCACAAUAGGAACCAAUAUCAUCCUUUCCCCUACCCUACAUUUUAGGACCUAUACAUAUAUCAUUUUUAUACCCUACAUUUUAGGACCUAUACAUAUAUCAUUUUUAUAUACAUAAAAAUAUACUUCCUAUCCCAAAACUUUUUUAUUUUUUCUGUGAAAAUUUUUCCAAAAUAAUUCACAACCGCUAUCAUUCGGACGUAUACUGAUAGCUUGUUUAUUGUGUAAUAGCUCACAAAUUACAUAGGAAAUGUAAAUAUACUAGGCAAAUUCCGUACGACAGCUCGCAAAUCACACAUGAGAUGUAAAUAUACUAGGCAAGCCUCGUACGACGAGCUCUAACUGUGAACGCUGCUGUGAGUGGUCUACCUCUACCACAUGGAAAACCACUCCCCCAACCAAUUAAAUUUAACGGCAUGCUUUUUAGAAAACAUAAUACUAUUAUUUAUAUUUAAAAAUAAAUUCAUUUGAAAAAUUUUAUCUUAUAACUACAUUUGAAAUUUUUUUCUUUCCUUUCCUUCAGUGAGCCGGGGGUCGAUUGGAAACAGCCUCUCUUCCCUUUCGGAUAGGGGUAAGGCUCGUCUACAUAUUACCCUCCCCAGACCCCACUUUGUGGGACUAUACUGGGUAGUUGUUAUUGUUGUUAUCUUAUAACUACACAAUAUUAUUUUAGACCAAAAGUUUUACUUUUUUUUUAAACUCUGUAUUUAUCAAAAUAUAUCACAUAAAAUUAUAUAGGUGGAGCAUUAACUUACUGAAAACUG